rnacentral:rRNA from 1 species
AGAGUUUGAUCAUGGCUCAGGAUGAACGUUGGCGGCGUGCCUAAUACAUGCAAGUCGAACGAAGAGCUUAAAGUAGCAAUACUUUGAUAACUCUUAGUGGCGAACGGGUGAGUAACGCGUUGGUGACCUGCCCCAAAGAUAGGGAUAACAGUUCGAAAGGACUGCUAAUACCUAAUGUUAUCAUUUGGCUUAGAUGCCUUUUGAUUAAAGGAGCUUGCUCCACUUUGGGAGGGGCCUGCGUCCCAUCAGCUAGUUGGUAGGGUAAUGGCCUACCAAGGCUAUGACGGGUAGGGGACCUGAGAGGGUGGCCCCCCACAAUGGAACUGAAACACGGUCCAUACACCUACGGGUGGCAGCAGUAGGGAAUAUUGGUAAUCUGCGAAAGCGGGAACCAGCAACGCCGCGUGCGCGAUGAAGGCCUUCGGGUUGUAAAGCGCUUUUCGGGAGGAAGAGGAAGGACUGUACUCCCGGAAUAAGUCUCGGCUAACUACGUGCCAGCAGCCGCGGUAAUACGUAGGAGGCUAACGUUAUCCGGAUUUACUGGGCGUAAAGCGCGUGCAGGCGGUUCGUUAAGUUGGACGUGAAAGCUCCCGGCUCAACUGGGAGAGGUCGUUCAAUACUGGCGGACUUGAGGAUGGUAGAGGGAGGUGGAAUUCCGGGUGUAGUGGUGAAAUGCGCAGAUAUCCGGAGGAACACCAGUGGCGAAAGCGGCCUCCUGGACCAUUCCUGACGCUCAGACGCGAAAGCUAGGGUAGCAAACGGGAUUAGAGACCCCGGUAGUCCUAGCUGUAAACGAUGUGAACUUGGCGUCGGUGGGAUUAAAUCCAUCGGUGUCGAAGCUAACGCGAUAAGUUCACCGCCUGAGGACUACGGCCGCCAGGUUAAAACUCAAUGAUUUGACGG